AUGUGCAAGUGUACAACACAGCAAACAAACAUAAAGUGUCACACUAACAAAAAACACCAUGAAACUUCUUGCAUGUCUCUAGAAGUAACAUCAAUCCUAAAAAAAAAUUACCUAACAAAAUUAAAAGCUAACAGUAACAGACUCCAGCUUGCAUUUCAUAAACGAAUAAUGUCUUCAAAAAGUGGACAAACUCUUGGGAAGAACAGUUAA
rnacentral:lncRNA from 1 species